rnacentral:lncRNA from 1 species
AGAAAAAGAAAAAGAAAAUAUGAAUAUAUAAAAAAAUAAAACAAAAAAGUCAAUUACAAUUAACUUUUUAAACCAUGAUCAGGUUAUAAGACCGAAAAUACUAUAUAUAAAAAACUUAUUAGGGUUAAAAUCACAAAAAAAAAACAACACAAAAAACCCAAAAUAAAAAAAAAUACAAUAAAAAUAAUGAGUGUUAAAAUUACAAUAAAAAAUAAAUUAAAAAGCAACAAAAAAUUUUAAAUUUGAGAGUGAAAUUGAAAAGAAUAAAAAGCAUUAACAAAAGGACAAAAAUCAAAAGAACAAAGAAAAAAAAAACAAUACACUAUAAAUUUAGAUUAAAGGGUAAAACUAAAAACAAUGAAACUUUCAUAAAAGAUUCAAGGAAAAAAAA